rnacentral:rRNA from 1 species
AGUGCCUAAUACAUGCAAGUCGAGCGGCAGCAUGAUUAGUAGCAAUACUAAUUGAUGGCGAGCGGCGGACGGGUGAGGAACACGUAGGAAUCUGUCGUUUAGAGGGGGACAACCAAGGGAAACUUUGGCUAAUACCGCGUAAUCUCGAGCGAGGAAAGCUGCCCGCAAGGGCGGCGCGAAAUGAGGGGCCUGCGUCCGAUUAGCUAGUUGGUAGGGUAAAAGCCUACCAAGGCAAUGAUCGGUAACUGGUCUGAGAGGACGACCAGUCACACUGGGACUGAGACACGGCCCAGACUCCUACGGGAGGCAGCAGUGGGGAAUAUUGGACAAUGGGGGAAACCCUGAUCCAGCGAUGCCGCGUGGGUGAAGAAGGCCUUCGGGUUGUAAAGCCCUUUAGAUCGGGAAGAAGUUUACUCGACGAAUAAUCGAGUAAGUUGACGGUACCGGUAGAAUAAGCACCGGCAAACUCUGUGCCAGCCGCCGCGGUAA